CGUUAAAUUACCCGUUCUCGUACGACCACGGAAGUUAAGCAACGUUGAACCUGGUCAGUAUCUCGGUGGGUAACCGCUUGGGAAUACCAGGAGUUGUAA